GUUCAUUGCCAGUUGCCAAACGAAUCGACUCCAAUGAGGGGGGCAAACUUCUCCAUCUCUUUGACUCCAUGCUUUAUCCCCUUCUCCCCAAAACCCUGCCACCCCACAAAACCCUUCGCUAACACUUUCGAAACCCUCGCCAUGGCGAAAUCUGUGGAUGAGUCCGACGUCGGCAUCUAUUGCUACGUCUCUUCCCUGCCCGGCUUCCGGGCUGUUCUUAAGCAGAGGUACUCGGAUUUCAUCGUUAAUGAGGUGGAUCUCGACGGGAACAUUGUUCGCUUAACCUCCUUUGAUUUGCCGCCUAAGUGUUCUAAAGAGGAGGAAAGAAAAGCUUCUUCGGAUCAAAAGUGCUUCACAGAUGAGAUUGAAUUAUUUCAAACCCUUGCUGGAGAAGCUAAUGCUAAACUGUUGAAGGAAUUCCUUGAAAAGGUUGCAUCCACUGUGGGUGAUGAGUUGCCCCCCAUUGUUCUUGCUCCAGACUCUGAUAAGUCCCACCGUACUGAGGUUCAUAAUUUCUUCAAGACAAAUUUCAAAUUCCUUGUAACAGAUACAGUGGAUGGAGAGGAUGGCAAUUCCAAGUGCGUUAGGAUUAGAUUCUCUUCUGGUAAAGGUGUAAAGGGUAGGGGAGGGAGGAAGAGGAAAGAUAUGGAGAAUUCAGGAAGGAAAAAUGACAUUCCUUUUGAUAGCAGGGGUACAGAUAAUUGGCCUGAGGAGCGAGGCAAGUUCCUACGGUUUAAUCUUUACAAGGAGAAUAAAGACACCCACGAGGCUUUGGGGGUCAUAGGGAAGAUGCUAGGUAUCCAGCAACGCUCGUUUGGAUUUGCUGGCACUAAAGAUAAACGCGCCAUAACAACUCAAAGGGUGACUGUAUUUAAGCUGCAUCCAGAAAGGUUAGCUGCUCUCAAUUGCAGAUUGUUUGGCAUUAAAGUUGGAGACUUUUGUUUUUUGAAGAAAGGACUUCUUCUUGGUCAGCUACUAGGAAAUAGGUUUACAAUUACUUUGAGAGGUGUUGUUGCAGCUUCAGUAGAUACUAUAAACGCAGCUGCUGAUGGUUUAGGAAGGAGUGGUUUUAUCAAUUAUUAUGGUCUGCAGCGGUUUGGGAGUGGUUCAGUGCCAACUCAUUCAAUUGGAGCUGCUCUCCUUCGUGGAGAGUGGAAGACUGCUGUAGAUUUGAUACUUGAUCCAAGGGACGGGGAAAGAGCUGACAUUAAAGAGGCGCGGAAGAAGUACAAGAAAACUGGUAAUGCUGAUUUGGUGUUAAGUCAACUACCUCGUUAUUUGGUUGCUGAGAGAGCUAUUAUACAGUGUUUAAAAAAUUGCCCGGGCAACUAUUUGCAGGCUCUGCAGGGAAUACCUAGGACACUUAGACUAAUGUAUGUGCAUAGUUAUCAAAGUUAUUUGUGGAACCAUGCUGCGAGUAUGAGAGUACGAAAACAUGGUACUGCACAGGUUGUGGUUGGAGAUUUGGUCUUUUGCAAGGGUCCUAUUUCUGAGAAAGUUGCUUCUUUUGAGAGCGUUGAACCAAUAUAUGAAUAUCAUGAUGGAGAGGGCAAUAAUAGUUUACUUGAUAUAUCUGAUGUCGCACUUCCUGAGGAAAAGAUUCAGCUUGUUAAGACUAUAAAUUCUGAUGAUCUGAUUAGUGGUGGUUAUACAUUUGAAGACGUUGUACUUCCUUUGCCCGGAUCAAGGACUAUAUAUCCGGGCAAUGAUAUAGCUGGAAUUUAUCAUGAUAUAUCUAAGAAGGAUGGUGUAAGCUUGACAGAAAGUGUUCAUGGUGUUAAGGAAUUCUCUAUUACUAGCAUGACGGGAGAUUAUAGGCGUGUUUUUCAGCGUCCUAUAGAUUAUACUUGGGAGUUGCUAACUUAUACAGAUAACAAUGAAUCCUUGGCAAAAACAGAUAUGGAUAUCUUGGUUGGGUCAAAGAACACUGAUUUGGUGACAAACAAGAGUUCUAUUAAUACAAGUCCGGAUGACAAAGACUCUCUGCAGACUAGAAAACGUGGUGGUUCUGAUUGUUUUAUGUCUGAGGAUCAAAAUGGGGUGACUGCACCAGCGGAGUGUGAUUAUUCUGAUCCAAAGGUGGCCUUGAAGUUGGGCUUUACUCUUCCUGCUUCAUGUUAUGCCACAAUGGCCAUCAGAGAGCUACUUAAGUCAUCAACUUUGGUACAGAAGACAGUGAACACCUGAGGAUUUCCUACGUCAUUCCUUCAUAUUUAUGUUUGUAAAAAACUAAAAUGUUUCUAAUUAAUGAUUGAUUGGAAAAUAAUCCAGUUGCAAGGUAUGUGCUUGAUGGCUCUUUGACCGGCAAAGAUUGUGGUUGUCUGAUUGUGGAGUUUUUUCGCCAUAGAUUUAUGAAGAUACACUACUUGUUCACCUGAGAAUUCGAACUUGAAUUAUUUGGAAGGUUUUUUUUUUUUUUUUUAAGAUUUUUAAUUAAUCAACUGUUUCUUCCUUAAAAACAUAAACCUUGAAAGGAGCCACCUGUAUCUUUACCCUUGAAAAAUGAAUUCAAAUGAAAACUAGCCGUUAGAAUAUCUCCCUCGAACAUUCUUUUUGUCUUUCAUUGAUCCAGCGUUGUACUUCGAAAACCCUCUUAUUAUGGUGAAAUUAUUACAUGCAUAUUUCACAGUUUUA